CCUUGUCAUUCUCUCGCCCGGUGUAUUUUAACAACUGGACGGAGAACUGAUAAGGGC
rnacentral:pre_miRNA from 1 species